rnacentral:rRNA from 1 species
UUAAAUCAUUAAAUUAAAAAGUUUUGGCGGUAUUUUAUAWAAUUAGAGGAACCUGUAAAGUUAUUGAUAAUCCACGAUAAGAUAGACUUAAAUAUUUAUGUAUUGCUGUUUUAAGAUUAUUAUUAAUUAAAUUUUUAAAUUUUUAAUU